ACUGCCCAGACUCCUACGGGAGGCUGCAGUCGAGAAUCAUUCGCAAUGGGCGAAAGCCUGACGAAGCGACGCUGUGUGUGUGAUGGAAAAGGCCUUCGGGUCGUAAAGCUCUUUCGCCAUGGG
rnacentral:rRNA from 1 species